rnacentral:rRNA from 1 species
CAGGCUGCAACCCGCCUGCGUGAAGUUGGAAUUGCUAGUAAUCGCGGAUCAGCAUGCCGCGGUGAAUACGUUCCCGGGCCUUGUACACACCGCCCGUCACACCAUGGAAGUCGGUAAUGCCCGAAGUCAGUAGCCUAACCGCAAGGGGGCGCUGCCGAAGGCAGGAUUGAUGACUGGGGUGAAGUCGUAACAAGGUAUC